CGCUACUUAGGCUGGAGGAAGACAUCCAUUCAUUGCUGGAUUGUUAACAAAGAGCUUGCAGGAUAACUGGACCUGAGGUGUGAGUUACCUGAGAGUAAGAGAUCUAGCAAGAUAGAGGAUUGCGGAUCUGUCUGACUAGCACCCUUUUGUACUGCAAAGUUGUGGAUCAGACUGCUUGGAGUUUAUCACUAACAAGUGGAAGUUCCCAAUCUGAGUCCAAUCAGAAAAUCAUGGAUAUGACAAGUUCAUCCUUUCUUACUUAAUUACCCUCCUGUCAUUUGAUGCUGCUGUUUGAAUUCAGUUUGACUCAGUACAGUUUCUCUAUCAGCUGACACAGAUCCAGAUGAAUAUAACCACAUCUGUUAAUAUCUGUUUCAGCUGUUCAAGGAUGGAUGCAGAAAUGUUUUCUGCAUUGACUAUUCUUUUCAGAUUUUACUUAAGCUCUUGAUUGUAUUGUUUUUCUUUCCUUUAACUAUUGAAUUCCUUGUUUCUACUUAAUUGAGCUUAUGCUUUUGUGAAUUUGUUUAUUUAGGUUAAUGGUUGUAACACUGUAAUCCUAUAACUUUUCAAAGAGAACAUCUUUUCAGAUAAGAAGCUCAACUAAUGAAAAUGAAGUAUCUCAUGUAUUGAGUCAACUGAAACAAUGAUUGCAAUGAUUUCACGGUAAGCUUACUAAAAUGUUUCACAAGCCUAAAUAUAAA